rnacentral:rRNA from 1 species
GCAUAACGCGAAGAACCUUACCUGGGCUUGACAUGCAUCUCUAAGCGCGUGAAAGCGCGUGACCCUUCGGGGGAUUUGCACAGGUGCUGCAUGGCCGUCGUCAGCUCGUGUCGUGAGAUGUUGGGUUAAGUCCCGCAACGAGCGCAACCCUUGUGACUAGUUGCCAGCACGUGAUGGUGGGAACUCUAGUCAGACUGCCCAGAUCAACUGGGAGGAAGGUGGGGACGACGUCAGGUCAGUAUGGCCCUUACGCCCAGGGCUGCACACGUACUACAAUGCCCAGUACAAUGAGAACCGAGACCGCGAGGUGGAGGAAAUCUGGAAAACUGGGCCCAGUUCGGAUUGGAGGCUGCAACUCGCCUCCAUGAAGUUGGAAUCGCUAGUAAUGGCGCAUCAUCUACGGCGCCGUGAAUACGUUCCCGGGUCUUGUACACACCG